UGUCGAUAGCGUAAAAGUGAACUCAAAUUUGUAUGCAGUUGGAACGUUUGCCUACGUUUACCGCUAGGGGCGCUAUUCCAAUUGCAUACAAAUUUGAGCUAACUUGCUCGCUAUCGA
rnacentral:pre_miRNA from 9 species